ensembl:lncRNA
CGAGAACUUUGGAAAGAGUGAUAUUUUCAAACACACAGGUUUGUGGUUUUUGAAAGAACAGAAAGCAUAAAAGCAUAACAUCUUGUAGGAUUACUUUUGGCUGAAGACCAAUUGAUGUGACAUCUGAAAAUAAUCAAAUAAGUGUCUUGUUUUGAGCCUGCAAAUAGCUUUGUGAAACUUUGGGAGGAAAUUCUCCACUUAUGGAAAAAAAAUAAGAAAAGUUGAAAUUGAGAUCCUGGGGUAAGAACAAAGAAGGGGAAUUCUGAGAGUGCUUUGAAUUGUUAACAGCAUUUAUAUUUGUAAAAAUGAAUCUCUCUAAAAAGGUGGAAGUGGCUAAUAAUCUUAAAUCACCUCACAUGGCACAUGCCCCAAACCCUGAUAACCUCCAAAUUCAAUUGCUUAUAACCAUUUUUGAGGCAUUCCAAAAACUCGAAGUUGCUACACAAUGCACGGAACUCUGGAUUUAAAAUUUCUGAAGCCCUUGAUUUUUUUUUUCCUAUAAGCUCUUAUAUUUGGAAAGAAGUCACGGUGUAGUCUAACCCCGGAAGAUCAAAAUAUAUUGAACUUUUUUUGUAAAGAUGAUAACAGCCAAGAAAGCAAAACUUGAAGUGAACACGAUGAUGAAGAGAGUAAAGAAAGGUAAAGACAAUGCUGAAGGUGGCAUUCAUAAACGUCCCAGCGCUGAAGGGAGAGGCUGUGCUUGAAGAAGAAAAAGUCUGCUAGCCAAGUGGCAAGCACGAGUGAUGAUCAAGAAAGGAAUGAUCCACGCUGGUGCCAUUCGCACCUACUCCUCCAUUGGGAUGAAAGUGAGGUGUUACCACUGGCCUUUUCUAUAGCUUCGCUGACCCCUGGCAUCUUUCGGUUCUCAGGGGAUUCCAGCAAGACUUCCCACUCAAAAACAAAGCAAAAGCAACCAAAACCCCACAACUGUUGGCUCUUCCUGACCCCAAAGGAACUUCAGCUAUUCCAUGCAGCUGUUCUUGCUUUCCUAACCCCUUCCUCAGAGCCGACUCACCUGGUCAUGGAAACUCUGCAGGUCACUAGCAUCAAUAUGCUCUCACCCACUGCAAGGCAGAGCUAUGCCAGUCUUUUCUCUCAAGCCAACACUUCCAGUGCAUUCCUGAUUUCCUUUUCUAGCUACCCCCAAACCAGGGCAGGAACCGACCCUCUACUUAGUUGUGAUGAAAACACCGUGAUCCCUCCAGUCUUUUUGGUAUCUUUUAUUUCCCAUCUUAGAUCCAUCCCAAAAAAAUAAACAACGAGAGGGAAGAGCAAAACCACCUAAUUUAAAUAUUUCAAGUGUGGAAGAAGAUAAGUGAUUUUAAAGAAUGAAAUUCGUCUGUCAUAAUUUUUAAAAAGAAGCUCUUAAGAAAAGGGUGUGACCACAGGAUGAAAGACAGUUUCUUCCGGAUGAUUUAUUUCUUGAUGAUAGCAGAUGUAGCGUGUCUUACGACGGUUGAAUUUUAUUUACUGUGUUAGUCAAUCUACCCCAAUGCUAACAGACCAGAUACAAGUUAGGACUGCUCAGGUCAAGCUGUCAGCAGUUAGCAGCAUGUCCAUCUCAAUCUGGUGACUAGCUUCUUUAUGUUUUAAUUGUCAACAGCCCUCAUUCUCAUUUUCUUGGCACACAUCUGGGGUGUGUACAGAGAAAGGGGAAAAAAAGGUCACAUUGUAUGUAGUGGGAACCUAGUGCAUAGUUUCUCCUGAGUAAAAUGAGGGGAAUGCCUCUGGAACAGCCCAUUCUUGAUAUAUUCAAAGAUUUUUUUUUUCUUCCUUAGAGCAAUGUAUACUAAUGGGGCCGUUAACCAGGUAAAUGCCUUUCUCCUCUUACUGAAAGAAAGGGCCUGAAAAUUCGUGACCAAACAAGUAACACUAUGAGGACAGUGGCACCAUUGUGCCAAAAAGGUUUUAAAACAUGUUUGCCAUGUUGAAAAGGAAAACGUUAACACCUUUAAAACUUUAAAAGGCAUCAGGCUGAACAGGGCAGCUGGACUAAAAUUUGGAAUGAGUUACACUGGGUUGACUUAUUUAAAUACAAUUAAUACCAGAACAAAGAAUGCCAAAGAUUUUUAUCACACUUUUAAACCAGAUUACUUAUUAUCUAUCCUUUUUCUUUGUUUCCAUAGCAUGCAGAUAUUCCCGAAAGCGGACUAAACCUGAUAUUUACAAAAACAUAGUUUUAAAUGAUCAAGACAGUAAGUUUCAACAUCAGCUAGAGAACAUGCACAGUCACAGUGCCUAAUUUUGUACCUGUGAUAAACUCUGGCUAAAACCAAUCACAUGGGAAAAAGCUUGUUGGAUAAACAUCUAAAUCACUAUUAAUUUUCAGCCAGCGUAGAAUGGAUGUGGCUUGAGAGAAACUGUUUAACAACAAAAAAAUGAAAAAAUAAAUGAGUAGGAAUGGGCAAGAUGAAGAGCUCAGUGACUAAAAUGCUCAUCUCUUUAUCCUUCCUGUUUACAAAUAAGCCGUGGGAUCACCAUCUUAACUAGAAUUCUAGUUAAGUCAAAACACGACACGCAGGCACACACUCAAAAACAAGCAAUACUUUGGGAACAGAAGAAUUGUACAUUUUAUGAUUUUCCAUUGCAUGUACUACAUCCGUCCACUCCCCCGUCCCUUUUAAGCAAAUACGCUUUAUAUUGGAAAAUGUUAUUUACUCAUUUAGAAGGCCACCGUAACGACUGGGCACUUGAGGCACAAAAGUAGUAGCAAAUAGGGGAGAUACUUAAAAAGUGUCAGCUGUCCAGGACUUAUUGCCAUUUCUCUGACAAAAAACAGGUGAACACAUCCAUGUUUCCAAGCAAGGGAAACUCUACUUCUAGAAUCUCAUUACUUCUGGACUUUUUCUAACUGGCUAUACACAUUAGCUUGGUUCGCAGCAAGUAACAAACAUUUGUUCUAAGCCUGGUUCAUUUGCUGAUGUGACCUGCUGAUAGCUAUGUAAUUCACUCACGAGGGCUAUCUGACCUUUUAUUUGACAUUAAAUUAAACAGACUAAACAUUGCUGUUGUACAAGAUAGGUUCUACUAACUCAACUGAAUGUAACUUUUCAAAGUUGCUGAAAUAAAAGUGUGUAUUUAUUUUCAUAAAACUACAUGUAAUCUAAGCACACUGCAAAAGCCAGAGUUUCUAUGUUUUGUUGGGAUAUUAAAAAUAUUUUCCCACCCUUUUGGAAUCUAAUCAUUUGGUAAUGGGGCAACAGCACAAUACAGAGAACGCUGAGAGGACCAAAAUGUUUGCAAACAAACUUUCAUUAUUCUAGUUCAAUCUUUCACAAACAUACUGUACAGAGUCUUAUAUGGUAUAAAACAAAGGAAAACAUCUCUGUCUAUUCAGUUUAACACAACACCAAAAUAAAGCAAUUAAGACUUUGGGGAAUUCAAAGGUACAAGAAAACAAAAACGGUUAUUACUAAUUUCCUCAACUUUUUACCAUAAACACUUGUCAUUUAACAUAGUGUUUGGAUAUAGUUUCUUUUGUAUGGCAAAUACUUUUGGUCUUUCCUCCCUGUAGAACAAAUGAAGAAUUAAAAUGAACCCCAUAGCAUCCUCCAAAGGAGGUGAAAAGAUAAAGCUCCUAGACAUAGCUAGCCUAUCUUUAAGAAUCUAUUGUUUCUGAAAUUUUCACAAAUAAAAAUACUGAAUCCCCAACUAAUGAUGCUUAUUUUGGGAAACAAUAAAUACUGUGAGGUACAAUAAAUCCUACAGGAAUAACAAUAACAACAGAAACAUAUUAACAGUUUCCUUUGGCAAAUUUAACGGAAGUGAAUGCUGAUGUGAACAUAGAAAAAAUAAUUACAAAAACAUGAAAAAUGGAAACGACAUAAAAGUUAAAACAAAGGGGUAUUUCUAACUUUAGAUUGAUGAGAGAAAUGUCUGAGGCCAUUAAAUGCAAAAAAGAAAUACAUUCUCUUUAAAUUAUUGUGUACUGUUCGACAAAAUAUUCCUUGUUUAUCUCUUCCUUUCCUCUCCACUUAAAAAAAAAAAAAGGAAAAAAAAAAAAAAAAGACAACAAACCAGUCUGCAAUGCACACCCUAAUGGUUUUGGCUGCAGACUGAACUUGAGUAAAUAUCAUCAUUUAGUCAGUAUGUUGUGGUAGCUGAGGCUGCCGAUGUGGUUAACCAGCUCAGGCAACAUGUGUAAACAUCGGAAACAAAACAAAACAAAAAAGGUUUGGAGAAUAGUCUCUCCCCUCUUUCUCACUCUCAAUUGCUUGGUUUCAGGCUUGCUUUCAUUUCUCUCUGACAAAUCGUGUGGGGAAACACAAAACACUAAACAUUGAGAGAUCCUAGUUUAAAAUCCCCUUCUUCUGGCUUUUCAGAAAGGAGUGUUGCUCAAUUCAAGUUUAGCACAUGUUUUCAAAGCUUCCAAGUACUGCUGCUGUUAAAUGCCUUUUGAUUUUGUCUACCAAACAGGCCUGAAUUAUAGUACGACUGCAGAAUUUGCAACAAAUUAGACAGCCAUACAAGAGACCGACCCAGUUCAGAGGAUUUCUUUUGAAAGGAUAAGGGUUAGGGCCUUGGAAAUGAGUGUUCAACUCUUUUACUGUAUUCAUCUUUGUUCUGUAGCGAGUAAUUUGGGCUUUUGUAUCCUGAAAUAUUAUCCUGCCUCUGAAGAAUAAAUGCCUUGGCUGUUUCACACCACAUAAUUUUGUUUUCCUUUUAUGUAACUUAACGUAUAAGCAAGAAGGAUGCAAUGUUGAUUCUAAUAACAUUCGGCACUUGAAAGAAUCACCAAGUGUUUUUUUAAAAAGCGGUUUUCUGGUGGCCGACAAAUUGGCCUGUGGUUAUGUUGAGUGACUAAUUGUAUUUUCUUUUCUGGAAACUUGUGCAAAGUUGGCAGUUUUGUGUUAACACUAAUACUUUGUUUGGCAUUUGUGCCCUAUACUGACCAGACCAUUUUUAUACAAGUGAAUUUUUUUUUAAAAAAGACACUUACUGAAGUAUGGCAAUAGUUUAACGAUAAAAAAGAAGCAUGGUUAUUACACAUCCCCUUGUAGUGUAUGAAAAAAAGUGCAUGACAGGAUUUAUGUACUAGUACAGGACAUUUUAAAAAAUCAGAUCUGUGCUGUAAAGCAUGCCAGCACCUCUUUACCACUAUAUCUAACAGGUAGUAAAAACAAGACCAUGUUUAAAAAAAAAAAAAAAUGUGCAUUAAUGCUAACAUAAAUGAAUAGAGCUAGCCAGCAAACUAUUUUUUCCUGCAUAUCUAACAGCUGGAUGUAACUGUAAAAAUUAAACAAAAAAGUUAAACCACCAUCAAUACAAUUGUUUUACAUCAAUGGCCCCUCAAGGCUAAAUAUUUACAGGUGAAUCUGCCAUGCUUUAAUUGAAGAUUCUUUCAAAACCUUAAAGUUCACAAAAGACAACUAUAAGAAGUUCCUUUUUGUUUCUUUUUUCUUUUUUUUUUUUUCCCUUUUAUUUUUGCAGGCAACAGUCAUGGGUACAACAAAUUGUCUCUUUGGGGAAGACCAAGAAUUAUUCUGUCAAAACUGGGGCUAGUUGCACACUCUGUGUGUGUGUGUGUGUGUGUGUGUGUGUGUGUGUUUAAAGGGGUACUCUGUUUUCACCCUUAAAUCAAAGAUCCCACUCCUUUCCCAAAACUUUUAUAAAGGGAAGUGAAAAAAAUUCAAAAGCACCUAGUGUUUAUCUUAUUUAUCUCAAGGAAAUACGUGUGUGUGUAUGUAGCCACAGAGCAUACAUUAAUGCACACACACACACACACACCCCAAGUACAUAAGCGCACACUGACUAUGGCAGUUCAAACACGUAGGCCAUCUGGUGAGAGCUGGCAU